rnacentral:rRNA from 1 species
UACGUAGGGUGCAAGCGUUAAUCGGAAUUACUGGGCGUAAAGCGUGCGCAGGCGGUGAUGUAAGACAGAUGUGAAAUCCCCGGGCUCAACCUGGGGACUGCAUUUGUGACUGCAUCGCUGGAGUGCGGCAGAGGGGGAUGGAAUUCCGCGUGUAGCAGUGAAAUGCGUAGAUAUGCGGAGGAACACCGAUGGCGAAGGCAAUCCCCUGGGCCUGCACUGACGCUCAUGCACGAAAGCGUGGGGAGCAAACAGG